rnacentral:tRNA from 7 species
GGGCCGGUAGUCUAUCGGCUAGGACGGUGCCCUUACAAGGCAUAGAGCCCAGUUCAACUCUGGGUCGGCCCA